rnacentral:piRNA from 1 species
UGAAUGAACAUGAACAUUACAGAAGAAUGG